AUGGCCCAAGGUGUCUCACAAAGGCGUUCAGCUCUCCUUGCUGUCGAGAGUGGUAAUUAUCCAAGACCAGGAGCAAAUACUCAUGAGAAGAAGUGCUUUGAAUGUGGCCAGCCAGGACACUUCAAGGCAGCCUGCCCACAACUAAUAGGAGGAGGUCGUGGUAGAGGCCUGGACUGGCAUGGCAGAGGACGUGGUCGCGGGCUUGAUGGACGUGGUGGUGGUCGUGGAAGAGGUAUGCAGUCAAUAGGAAGGGCACACACUUCUGCUGUUGUUGAAGAACCAUCUAGGACUGUGAGCAUCGAGAUGACUGCCGAUGAGUUAGAGAAAUGGCGUCAACUAAAGAAUUUGAGCCUUGGUGAUCUGCGGCCCUCGGAGACACAUGCAUCAUCUUCGUCAGCCAACUUCGCUGGAACUUGGGACUGGAUGAAAGCUUGGGACGGGGAGCAUGCGUGA
rnacentral:rRNA from 1 species